GUCCUGAUCCGGGCCCCUCUGGCGAGAGCUGCCGGCUCUCUCGCGAUGUCGGAUCUUCUUU
rfam:Aurantimonas sp. 22II-16-19i contig10, whole genome shotgun sequence.